rnacentral:rRNA from 1 species
UACGAAGGGGGCUAGCGUUGUUCGGAAUUACUGGGCGUAAAGCGCGCGCAGGCGGUCUUCCAAGUCAGUGGUGAAAGCCCGGAGCUCAACUCCGGAAUUGCCAUUGAAACUGUUGGACUUGAGUACGAGAGAGGUGAGUGGAAUUCCCAGUGUAGAGGUGAAAUUCGUAGAUAUUGGGAAGAACACCGGUGGCGAAGGCGGCUCACUGGCUCGUAACUGACGCUCAGGCGCGACAGCGUGGGGAUCAAACAGG